CCUGAGGGAAAUGAGGAGCUGCCGCAGGGAUUUGAGCUCCAAAGUGACAAGAUCUGAGCCACCCUUUCCUCGCUAAAGGGUGUAAUUGUAGAAAGUGAUGGCGGAGGAGGCUGCUGCUUGAGGCCAUGAGAUUUAAGAAAAAGCAUAAUACUGGUUGCAAACCACUAAAAUGACCUCAUGUCCCACCGACAGAUCACAGUUUGCAGUUUGGAAAACACUACUCCAAGGUAGAAAUUAUGGACAUCUCCAGAACAGGGACCCAAAUGCAGUGUCUACACCGGGAACCUCACUGGUAAAGCCACAAGAAGGAUGAGGAGGAAGGAGAGAAACAUCAAAGCACCUGAAGGAAUCACCUAGGGGGAAGUUUCCAGCCACUCCUUUCAGGUAGGGUUGCCAGACUAAGUACAGGAUGCUCAGUUGGAUUUGAAUUUCAGACAAUGAAGAUUUAACUGAGCGUCCUGUGUUUUUAUUUGCUGUGUCGGGCAACCCCACAUCCGGGACUGACGUGGCAUGAAAGGGCCAGGCUGACCAGGAGGCCCAUGUAGGACUAACGGACAGCAGGAGAAGCUGAGGUCUCCAGCUGCACCAGGCCGGUUGAGAUAAGAGAGUCUUCGGGGAAACUUCCUUUUAGGCACAAACCAACGGCUGGGCCAGGCACACCACCGGCAUCUGUGGGCAGUUUCUCUGAAGUCAUGGGGCCUGGGGGAGGGUUUUACCAGCAUCAAGCUGAGCUCUUCCCCCCCCCGCCAUGUCUCUUCUGCCCUCCUUCCUCCCUGCAGCCCCCAACACGCCUCCCUCCCCCACAGUUUGGGCUUUUAGUAUGGCCGCUAGAGUUGGGCAGUGCCAAGGGUGUGGCUGAAGCAGCCACAGCCAGAAGGAAAGGGGGUGAGCCCACUGGCCUCACCAGGAAGGCAUGCCCUGAUGCUCUCAUAACCUCUGCGGGCACAAACAUCCCCUCUCCCAGGCCCGGGAGCAGAGCUAAGGGCUGGGUCCCAGGCCCUGCUUGUCCCCCGUUACUAAGAGGAAAGGAAAAGCUGUUUCUGUCUUCCCUUGUGGGUUUCUACACGGGCUGUUUCCGCAUUCCAUACGGACCAAGGGAAUAAAUCAUCUGAAAUGCUGA